CCUACGGGUGGCAGCAGUGAGGAAUAUUGGUCAAUGGACGCAAGUCUGAACCAGCCAUGCCGCGUGCAGGAUGACGGCUCUAUGAGUUGUAAACUGCUUUUGUACGAGGGUAAACCCCGAUACGUGUAUCGGGUUGAAAGUAUCGUACGAAUAAGGCUCGGCUAACUCCGUGCCAGCAGCCGCGGUAAUACGGAGGAUCCGAGCGUUAUCCGGAUUUAUUGGGCUUAAAGGGUGCGUAGGCGGUCCGGAAAGUCAGCGGUAAAAGCCCGGGGCUCAACCCCGGCGAGCCGUUGAAACUGUCGGACUAGAGACGGCGAGAAGUACGCGGAAUGCGCGGUGUAGCGGUGAAAUGCAUAGAUAUCGCGCAGAACUCCGAUUGCGAAGGCAGCGUACCGGCGCCGGACUGACGCUGAGGCACGAAAGCGUGGGUAUCGAACAGGAUUAGAUACCCGGGUAGUC
rnacentral:rRNA from 1 species